GUUAAGCGACUAAGCGUACACGGUGGAUGCCCUGGCAGUCAGAGGCGAUGAAGGACGUGCUAAUCUGCGAUAAGCGUCGGUAAGGUGAUAUGAACCGUUAUAACCGGCGAUUUCCGAAUGGGGAAACCCAGUGUGAUUCGUCACACUAUCAUUAACUGAAUCCAUAGGUUAAUGAGGCGAACCGGGGGAACUGAAACAUCUAAGUACCCCGAGGAAAAGAAAUCAACCGAGAUUCCCCCAGUAGCGGCGAGCGAACGGGGAGCAGCCCAGAGCCUGAAUCAGUGUGUGUGUUAGUGGAAGCGUCUGGAAAGGCGCGCGAUACAGGGUGACAGCCCCGUACACAAAAAUGCACAUGCUGUGAGCUCGAUGAGUAGGGCGGGACACGUGGUAUCCUGUCUGAAUAUGGGGGGACCAUCCUCCAAGGCUAAAUACUCCUGACUGACCGAUAGUGAACCAGUACCGUGAGGGAAAGGCGAAAAGAACCCCGGCGAGGGGAGUGAAAAAGAACCUGAAACCGUGUACGUACAAGCAGUGGGAGCACGCUUAGGCGUGUGACUGCGUACCUUUUGUAUAAUGGGUCAGCGACUUAUAUUCUGUAGCAAGGUUAACCGAAUAGGGGAGCCGAAGGGAAACCGAGUCUUAACUGGGCGUUAAGUUGCAGGGUAUAGACCCGAAACCCGGUGAUCUAGCCAUGGGCAGGUUGAAGGUUGGGUAACACUAACUGGAGGACCGAACCGACUAAUGUUGAAAAAUUAGCGGAUGACUUGUGGCUGGGGGUGAAAGGCCAAUCAAACCGGGAGAUAGCUGGUUCUCCCCGAAAGCUAUUUAGGUAGCGCCUCGUGAAUUCAUCUCCGGGGGUAGAGCACUGUUUCGGCAAGGGGGUCAUCCCGACUUACCAACCCGAUGCAAACUGCGAAUACCGGAGAAUGUUAUCACGGGAGACACACGGCGGGUGCUAACGUCCGUCGUGAAGAGGGAAACAACCCAGACCGCCAGCUAAGGUCCCAAAGUCAUGGUUAAGUGGGAAACGAUGUGGGAAGGCCCAGACAGCCAGGAUGUUGGCUUAGAAGCAGCCAUCAUUUAAAGAAAGCGUAAUAGCUCACUGGUCGAGUCGGCCUGCGCGGAAGAUGUAACGGGGCUAAACCAUGCACCGAAGCUGCGGCAGCGACGCUGAUGCGUUGUUGGGUAGGGGAGCGUUCUGUAAGCCUGUGAAGGUGUGCUGUGAGGCAUGC
rnacentral:rRNA from 1 species